CCUACGGGAGGCAGCAGUCGAGAAUCAUUCACAAUGGGGGAAACCCUGAUGGUGCGACGCCGCGUGGGGGAAUGAAGGUCUUCGGAUUGUAAACCCCUGUCAUGUGGGAGCAAAUUAAAAAGAUAGUACCACAAGAGGAAGAGACGGCUAACUCUGUGCCAGCAGCCGCGGUAAUACAGAGGUCUCAAGCGUUGUUCGGAAUCACUGGGCGUAAGGCGGGCGUAGGCUGUUUCGUAAGUCGUGUGUGAAAGGCGCGGGCUCAACCCGCGGACGGCACAUGAUACUGCGAGACUAGAGUAAUGGAGGGGGAACCGGAAUUCUCGGUGUAGCAGUGAAAUGCGUAGAUAUCGAGAGGAACACUCGGGGCGAAGGCGGGUUCCUGGACAUUAACUGACGCUGAGGCACGAAGGCCAGGGGAGCGAAAGGGAUUAGAUACCCGUGUAGUC
rnacentral:rRNA from 1 species